UUUAAUCUGUUUAAAGUAUUCAAUCCGACACGAAUCGAUUCAUUGUCAGAUCUAGUCCUAACAUAUGAUGCCGCUAAUAACUAAAAUGAGGGGAUGAAACUACAACUGAAAGGAUUAAGGGGGUGGAAUAUGAAGGUGAUAACUCCAAAUAAUAGUAUAUUCUUCGUUUGACAAAACUAUGUAUUACUUGAAUUUUGGUGUGAAAACCAUCACAAUACCUGAUAUAUGGCAUACUUUAUUGAUUUAUUUCGCUUGGCAUGAUCCAGAACCUAUAUGUUGAGAUUAUUGAUGUUUUUGGCCAUUUUCAGCGAUAUUUCUGGUCCAGAAAAGCUAAGUUUCGAAAAUCAAGCGACGGCGCCUUCCGCUCGAUAAGUGACGCUUUCCACUCGAGCCAGCACCAUUGACCAGCAUCCACCGCUUCUGAAGCGAGAGUAUAGCAUUCCAGAAAAAUGCCUAAGUGUCCAUCUCUCAGCGGUGAAGCCAUUCCAAUACUAGCCAGCGACGACAAUAUCAUUUGAGUUGCGAUGAUGCCCUCUAGCCACCUGGGAAAGCGAGGAAGGUCUGCGCCCUUAUAUGCCCAAGCAAGCGAAGCGACCGCCCUGAGAGUUAUGGCCAAGUGCAACUGCUCUAACUAAAUAACCGCCAACAACUGUCUAACUGCUCAACAGUUUUUGCUACUUCUCAACUACUCACAGCUGCCGUCCUUUCUAGCUAUAAAUAGGGUACGAGCUCAGGUGCAAUCAAUUAGAGAGGAAUUUGCCAUCGGUGCUGGCGAUCAACCCGGUCUUUCUCUACUGAGUGUUUUGCUUGAUUCCAACAAUUGGAUUGCGUGGAAGGUUACUGUUCAAGCUGCCUUGAGCUGUAAGCUCAAAGAUGAUUUCAUUGAUGGUUCAAUUUUACCAUUGUCUAGCUCAGAUUCAAAUUAUAAAUAUUGGAAACGAGCUAACAACCUAGUGUUAUCUUGGUUGAAGAACUCAAUUGAUUCUGCUAUAGCAAGGUCGUUUGUGCAUAUAUCCACAGCUAGAGAUCCCUGGCUUGAACUCGAGGACAGAUUUGGCCGAGUUACUGGCCUUCAAAUACUUUUUUUUUUUUUUAAAAAAAGAUCUCUAAUCUAAUUCAAGGUAACUCUACUGUUACUGAGUACUUUAGUAAUUUUGAAGUCUCUAUGGAGUGAUUUUAGAGCUAUUAUGCCAUUUCCUAAGUGUAAUGAUCCAUCUAUAUUGAAAAUUUUGAAACUAGAGGAUGACAAUGUGUUGUUGCAACACUUUCUUAUGGGAUUGAAUGCUUCUUUUGAACAUGCGUGCAACCAAUUGAUGAUGAUUGAUCAUCUUCCAUCUAUAAGUAAGGUGUAUGGUAUGAUGUGCAAUGUUGAGAUGCAAACAAAAACUAUGAAUGAUACUCAACAAGUUCAACAUGCUUUAGUUGCUACUGACUUUAAAUAUGAUCCUAAGGUAAAGGCUAUAAGAAAAAAGCAGAACUUUACAGUAGUUUGUAGUUAAUGUAAGAGGACUGGUCACUCUAAGGAAACAUGUUUUAAGUUGUAUGGAGAACCAGAUUGGUAUAAGGAGAUGAUGGAAAAGAGAAAGGGUAAAAUGGUUACUUAUGUGUCUGCUUCUGCAGUGGUUUCGACUCCUAAUUACCUUACUAAAAUUUUUUUUGAAGAGUUGUUUAAGACGAUGAUGGGAGGAAUUGCUGCUCAUUCUCCUGUGGACUUUUCUGGUAGUGCCUUCACUUAUACAAACACUUCUUCUGUGAAUCCUUUAAGUGUCACCGAAUGGAUAAUGAACACAAGUGCCUCUUGCCAUUUGUGUUCCAAUUUAUUCAUUAUGACAGAUAUAAAGCAAGUUGAUACACCAAAUGCGAUACUUCUGCUGGAUGAUUCAUCUAAGAUGACAAAUCUUACUGAAAAAAUGUUCAACUGAAUUCAUAUGUGAGGCUUACAAGGGUGUUUUAUAUACCUGACUUGAUCUUUAAUCCUGUCUCUAUCAAAAGACUUAUUUUGGAUCUUAAAUGUACAACCAUAUUUGAUUCAAAGUACUGUCUAUUGCAGGAUUUGAAGACUAGACAGACAUUGCUUACAGCUCAUCUGCAUUCCAUUUUAUAUCUUUAUGAUACAAUUUUGUAUAAUAAUAUGGUUCUACAUUGUUAUCAGUUGAUGAUGCAAAAUUUGUAUUAUGACAUUGUAAACUUGGUCAUCCACCUUGGAAGGUUAUGAAACAUAUUGGAAUUCAUUUUUCUGCUAAAA